rnacentral:rRNA from 1 species
UAGAGUUUGAUCCUGGCUCAGAUUGAACGCUGGCGGCGUGCUUAACACAUGCAAGUCGAGCGGUAACAGGUGUAGCAAUACAUGCUGACGAGCGGCGAACGGGUGAGUAAUGCUUCGGAAUCUACCUUAUGGUGGGGAAUAACUAGCCGAAAGGUUAGCUAAUACCGCAUACGUCCUACGGGAGAAAGCAGGGGAUCGUAAGACCUUGCGCCGAUAGAUGAGCCGAAGUCGGAUUAGCUAGUUGGUGAGGUAACGGCUCACCAAGGCGAUGAUCCGUAGCUGGUCUGAGAGGAUGAUCAGCCACACUGGGACUGAGACACGGCCCAGACUCCUACGGGAGGCAGCAGUGGGGAAUAUUGGACAAUGGGGGCAACCCUGAUCCAGCAAUGCCGCGUGGGCGAUGAAGGCCUUCGGGUUGUAAAGCCCUUUUGCACGCGACGAUGAUGACGGUAGCGUGAGAAGAAGCCCCGGCUAACUUCGUGCCAGCAGCCGCGGUA